AUUGAACGCUGGCGGUAGGCCUAACACAUGCAAGUCGAACGCGAAAGUCCUUCGGGGUGAGUAGAGUGGCGGACGGGUGAGUAACGCGUAGGAAUCUAUCCUGUAGUGGGGGAUAACGUUUCGAAAGGAACGCUAAUACCGCAUACGCCCCAAGGGGGAAAGCGGGGGAUCUUCGGACCUCGUGCUAUAGGAGGAGCCUGCGUCGGAUUAGCUAGUUGGUGAGGUAAAGGCUCACCAAGGCGACGAUCCGUAGCUGGUCUGAGAGGAUGAUCCGCCACACUGGAACUGAGACACGGGCCAGACUCCUACGGGAGGCAGCAGUGGGGAAUUUUGGACAAUGGGGGCAACCCUGAUCCAGCCAUGCCGCGUGAGUGAAGAAGGCCUUCGGGUUGUAAAGCUCUUUCGGCCGGGAAGAAAUCGUAUGGGCUAAUACCCUGUGCGGAUGACGGUACCGGCAUAAGAAGCACCGGCUAACUACGUGCCAGCCGCCGCCGUAAGAC
rnacentral:rRNA from 1 species